rnacentral:rRNA from 1 species
CCUACGGGGGGCUGCAGUGGGGAAUAUUGGACAAUGGGCGAAAGCCUGAUCCAGCCAUGCCGCGUGUGUGAAGAAGGCCUUCGGGUUGUAAAGCACUUUCAGUGGGGAAGAAAGCCUUGGGGCUAAUACCCUCGAGGAAGGACAUCACCCACAGAAGAAGCACCGGCUAACUCCGUGCCAGCAGCCGCGGUAAUACGGAGGGUGCGAGCGUUAAUCGGAAUUACUGGGCGUAAAGCGCGCGUAGGCGGUCUGAUAAGCCGGUUGUGAAAGCCCCGGGCUCAACCUGGGAACGGCAUCCGGAACUGUCAGGCUAGAGUGCAGGAGAGGAAGGUAGAAUUCCCGGUGUAGCGGUGAAAUGCGUAGAGAUCGGGAGGAAUACCAGUGGCGAAGGCGGCCUUCUGGACUCACACUGACGCUGAGGUGCGAAAGCGUGGGUAGCAAACAGGAUUAGAUACCCCAGUAGUC